AGAGGCCGCAGUAGAGCAGCCGCUUGGCCUUCUCCUCCUCCGCGUCCCCCGCCGCCGUCACCCUUGUCACCGUUGUCCCCGCCGCCUCCCCGGGGCCGGGUGACGCCGCCACCACCGCUGCCACCGCUGCCACCACGGGGGGCUUCUCGGGUGGCCGCUCGCCUGCGAGGCACCAGUGGCUCAGCGGGGAAACUGAGGCAGGGCAGGGGACGCCGCGGUGGCAGGGGACACGGGGGACACCCCAGGGUGACCCAGGACCCCCCCCAUCUGCUUGGGCUCGUCCCCCCCCCGAGCAUCAUGGGGACACGUGGGGACGCAGGGGACACCCCAGGGUGCCCCAGGACCCACUUGCGCAGUGGAGCUCAAGGUCACCAAGUGACACACGGGGACACGUGGGGACACCUGGGGGUGUCAGGACCCACCUGGGUGGGGGGGACUCGCCGUCCCCAGGGCGAUGUGGGGACACGUGGGGACACAGGGGACACCCAGGGUGCCCCAGGACCCACUUGCGCAGUGGAGCUCAAGGUCACCAAGUGACACACGGGGACACGUGGGGACACCUGGGGGUGCUGGGACCCACCUGGUUGGGGUCCCUCGGUGUCCCCGCGGUGGCACAGGGACACGUGGGGACGCAGGGGACACCGGGACCCACCUGGUCGGGGUCCCUGGCUGUCGCCGUCGGUGGUGGCGGCGGCGGUGGCGGGCGCCGGUGUCCCCGGGGCAGGUGCCUUGUCACCCUCCCUGCGGUGGCCCCGGGCGGCCUCCAGCCCCUUGAGGCGCCGCGCGUGCCGGUUGCCCUGGUAGUGCGCCGUCGCCUGGCUCUGCGACACCCGGCGCACGGUGACACCCGUCACCUGGGGAUGCCAACACCCUGGGGACACCCAGCACCCAGGGACCCCAACACCCUGGGGACACCCCUACACCCCGAGACACCCCAACACCCUGGGGACACUUGGCACCUGGGAACACCCGGCACCCGGGGACCCCAACACCCUGGGACACCCCUACACCCUGGGGACACCCAGCACCCGGGGAC
rnacentral:lncRNA from 1 species